rnacentral:tRNA from 1 species
GCGGGUGGCCCGGAGUUGGUCUUCGGAACCGCGGGGCACGGGUUCGACCCCCGUCGGGUGCG